AGUUAAAAAGCUCGUAGUCGGAUUUCAGUAUUAGGCCCUUCUUCCAAUACGGUUGCUAGUGGUCUUUACUUCCUUAACAGAAUCUUCCAUCUCAUUAAUUUGGGGUGUUUGGGGCCUGUUUCUUUUACUUUGAGAAAAUUAGAGUGUUCAAAGCGGGUUUUCGCCUGGAUAUUACUCUUGGAAUAAUAAUAUAGGACUUUGGUUCUUUUUUGUUGGUGACUUAGAACCGAAGUAAUGAUUGAUAGGGACAGUUGGGGUCAUUCGUACUAUGAAGCGAGAGGUGAAAUUCAUGGACCUUUGUAUGACGAACUACUGCGAAAGCAUUUGACUAGGAUGUUCCCGUUGAUCAAGAACGAAAGUUGGGGGAUCGAAGACGAUCAGAUACCGUCGUAGUCUCAACCAUAAACUAUGCCAGCUAGGGAUUGGAGGAAGAUCAUUUUACGUCUCCUUCAGCACCUUAUGAGAAAUCAAAGCAUUUGGGUUCCGGGGGGAGUAUGGUCGCAAGGCUGAAACUUAAAGGAAUUGACGGGAGGGCACCACCAGGAGUGGAGCCUGCGGCUUAAUUUGAUUCAACACGGGGAAACUUACCAGGUCCGGACAUGGGAAGGAUUGACAGAUUGAAAGCUC
rnacentral:rRNA from 1 species